rnacentral:rRNA from 1 species
GAUGAACGCUGGCGGCGUGCCUAAUACAUGCAAGUCGAGCGAACGGACGAGAAGCUUGCUUCUCUGAUGUUAGCGGCGGACGGGUGAGUAACACGUGGAUAACCUACCUAUAAGACUGGGAUAACUUCGGGAAACCGGAGCUAAUACCGGAUAAUAUUUUGAACCGCAUGGUUCAAAAGCGAAAGACGGUCUUGCUGUCACUUAUAGAUGGAUCCGCGCUGCAUUAGCUAGUUGGUAAGGUAACGGCUUACCAAGGCAACGAUGCAUAGCCGACCUGAGAGAGUGAUCGGCCACACUGGAACUGAGACACGGUCCAGACUCCUGCGGGAGGCAGCAGUAGGGAAUCUUCCGCAAUGGGCGAAAGCCUGACGGAGCAACGCCGAGUGAGUGAUGAAGGUCUUCGGAUCGUAAAACUCUGUUAUUAGGGAAGAACAUAUGUGUAAGUAACUGUGCACAUCUUGACGGUACCUAAUCAGAAAGCCACGGCUAACUACGUG